rnacentral:lncRNA from 1 species
UGGAGCUCUGGAACAGCAACUGUUAAACCCUUGCUAUUCCCAGAGGGAAGCCUUCCCUGAGGCACAGCCCAGGCCCACCCAGGCCCUUGCAGGGCUUGGCACAAGGAGAGCAGUGGCUUUCUCACUCACCCGUCGCGUGUCCAUCCGCUCCUUGGCACAAACAGUGUCCAAAGUGCAGUGUCCAAAGGCCCUUGGCCUUCGCAGGGUUUAACCCUUUAUGUUCAAACACCCUUGGCCUUCGCAGGGUUUAACUCUCAGUGCCUAAAAGGCCUUGGCAUUUGCAAAGUCUAAACCUCAGUGUCCAAUGGAGUUUGCUUUUGCAGGGUCCAAACCCCAGUAUCUAAAGGCCCUUGGCCUUUGCAGGGUCCAAACCCCAAUCUCCAAAGGUUCUUGGCCUUUGCAGGGUCAAUAGCGAUCAAACACGAUCAAAGUGCUGUUGGCCGUUGCAAGGUCCAAGCCCCAAUGGUCACAAGCUGUUGACAGCUCCAUGGUCCAAACCCAAAUAGCCAAGAGCUGUUGAUUGUUUCCAGGGUGCAACCCCCAACAUUUCAUGGACUGUUGACGGUUGCCACGGUCUGAGUCCCAACAUUGCAGGGACUGUUGGAGAGGCCCUUCCCGGCUCUCGCCUCAUCCCUGCUCCCUGCUGGCCCAGGCACCAGCCCUGCCUCCCCCAUGUCCCCACAACCCUGCUGGGCAGCUGGGCAGGGACCCAGCUCAUGAGUUCCAAGUUCCUGCUCCAGGCAGCAUCAGUUUGCAGAGCCUCAUCGGACAGAGCAGUUUUCUCCGAGGACAACUGAAGCAGCUCAACACCCAGAUCCAGGCCCUGCAGGAUGCAGUGACAGAGAAGGCAGCUCAGCAGGACACUCGAGAGAAGGAGCUGCUGCAGGAGCUGGAAAAGUCCCAAGCAGGAGAACAGAGCUUGAGGGACGCUGUGCAUGUGCUGCAGGUUGAGAUGUCUGAGCUGCGUCUGAGGCUCCAGAGCUCUGAGGAAAGAGCAGAGGCCAUGGCCACACACUGUGAGGCCAUGGAGAUGGAGCUGAGGAUGGCUCAGGCUGACAACAACCAAAUCAAGGCCUGCAAUCAGGAGCUGCAGACACUGUUGGAGGAAACUCAGCAAGGUACAACUUCUCUCCCAUCCAUUGCCCCAUCCUGUUCCACCAGCGGGGAUCUCUGAUCCCAUGCAGAGGUAAAGGCCUUUGCCCAGAGAUGGCAGACAGGAAAAACAACCAGCACGAGACUUAUCCAUCCAGGCGCCAGUCAAAGUUUAUCUCAAGGAUGAUGCUGUGGCUGGCGGUGCCAACUGGCUCUGCUGUGGCUGAUCCCAUACACAGCUGGUGCCUUUCAGGUGCUGUGUCUGUGCUAAGCAGCUGAAGCUGGAUGCCUCAGCUCAAUUCCCCCA